CCUGAUUCGAGGGGGAAGGAGAAACAGACCACAGAAAUAAGUGAUACCAUUUAUUACCAGCACAUGACAGCACUACCUUGCUGCGGGUGCAAGCAGCUUUCUACCUCCACAAAUGAAUUAUUCAGGCAAAGUAGUGAUGCUGCUUCCAAAAAAGAAAGACUCAUCCCAGGAAAGCUCUUCUAACACAGCAACAACUUUGGGAUGACAUUCUAGCUAAGUACAGUAGUAACCCAACUUAAAAUUGUGAUACUCAGCUCAAGCCCAGACCAAACUGUUACCUCAGCAGCCUGAAAAACAAUCCCUGACAUCCAUGUGACAUUUUCAAUACAUGACACUUUCAUGCCUGAACAUAAUGCUAUCAGAGACCCAUGUCAAAAACUCUGGGUAUCUUUAUUUUCUUCUUUAGCUCUGCAAGUUGACUUCUCAGCUGCUGAGAGGCAAUGAUUAAAGCCACUUCAUCAAUCAAAGAACUGGUCUGAGAGUGAGCAAAACAGACAGGAGCUCCACUUGGAACACCAGUUCAUCUGCAAGACUCACACAGGAGCAGCAGCUGGGGUAGCAGAAAUAUUGCCUUUGCCAUUUACAUUUUUCUGAUCCUACACUUACAGCAAUUUGUACAAGCAACAAAGCCUGGAGAGAUACAUUCACUUUAUUUUAAUGAGAGAAAUACAUCCAAUUCAGUUAAACAACAUAAUAUGUAUUGCUACAAUAAACUGCCCUAGAGCUUUAAGUCAUCUCCAGCACAAAUAGGGAAAGAACUUCAGCUAUCUGUCUAUAAAAUACUGCAACAGAAGAACUGAACAGAUGCCCCAGAGCCUUUCCCCUGAAAUCCAGCAGCAGGUAAACAAUAGUAAGACAGUAAUGGCUGUACCUGUGGACCUUCCCUCCAUAGAAGGGCUUGGUGUGGAAGGUGACCGUGGCAGAAUAGCCCGUUCUGGCACAGUUGAUGUUGACUUUCCCUCCAAGCUCCACCCACGGGAUGGUAAGGAUUGAGCGAGCGUAGGCACUGGGCAGG